rnacentral:rRNA from 1 species
AUUGAACGCUGGCGGCAGGCCUAACACAUGCAAGUCGAACGAGUGGCGGACGGGUGAGUAAUGUCUGGGAAACUGCCUGAUGGAGGGGGAUAACUACUGGAAACGGUAGCUAAUACCGCAUACCAUCAGGUGUGCCCAGAUGGGAUUAGCUUGUUGGUGGGGUAACGGCUCACCAAGGCGACGAUCCCUAGCUGGUCUGAGAGGAUGAUCGGCCACACUGGAACUGAGACACGGCCCAGACUCCUACGGGAGGCAGCAGUGGGGAAUAUUCGACAAUGGACGAAAGUCUGACCGAGCAACGCCGCGUGAGUGAAGAAGGUUUUCGGGUCGUAAAACUCUUUUGUUGGGGAGGCGUUAUCUAACCAGGAAGCCACGGCUAACUACGUGCCAGCAGCCGCGGUAAUUC